UACGUAGGAGGCAAGCGUUGUCCGGAAUUACUGGGUGUAAAGCGCGUGUAGGCGGCAGGCCAAGUCUGUGGUGAAAUCGCUCGGCUCAACUGGGCGGGGUCCAUGGAAACUGGUCAGCUGGAGGACGGUAGAGGUGAGUGGAAUUCCUGGUGUAGCGGUGAAAUGCGCAGAUAUCAGGAAGAACACCCGUGGCGAAGGCGGCUCUCUGGGACGGUACUGACGCUGAGACGCGAAAGCGUGGGGAGCGAACAGG
rnacentral:rRNA from 1 species